rnacentral:rRNA from 1 species
UUAUAAGAGACAGCAGUCGCCACGGUAAGACAGAGGAUGCAAGCGUUAUCCGGAAUGAUUGGGCGUAAAGCGUCUGUAGGUGGCUUUUCAAGUCCGCCGUCAAAUCCCAGGGCUCAACCCUGGACAGGCGGUGGAAACUACCAAGCUGGAGUACGGUAGGGACAGAGGGAAUUUCCGGUGGAGCGGUGAAAUGCGUUGAGAUCGGAAAGAACACCAACGGCGAAAGCGCUCUGCUGGGCCGACACUGACACUGAGAGACGAAAGCUAGGGGAGCAAAUGGGAUUAGAUACCCCUGUAGUCCCUGUCUCUUAUAC